GUCUGUAGCCACACUACCCUGAACACACCCGAUCUCAUGUGGUCUCAGAAGCUAAGCUAGAUUGGGUCUGGCUAGUACUUAGAUGGGAGAUCGCAUGCUGCUGUAGACU
rnacentral:rRNA from 1 species